GUGGAGAUUAAGGCUCGGGAGGUACGUAACAUUUUGUAGACCUCGGCUUUUCCAUCGUGGCGUCGUAGGAGGAGGCGGAAACCCUUUAUGGAAUCUGGUCCUUGAAUUUUCCAAGACAAAUUAAGGUUUCGGGACGAAGGGACGAGCGGUGGAAUAAGGGAGCAAGUCGAGAUUAGCAAGGAAGUAGAGACAGGUCAGGACAGGUUUACUGAAGACGCGCCGUGAUAGGAGCAUCGUCAGCGGGUCAGCAAGUGCCAUUCAUCCGGACUUUCCUGUUUUGGUAGAUGAUUAUGACUGCAUGGUUAUUGUAUAUGUUUUUGGAUACGUCAGUGGACGUGUAGUCCCAACCUUAUAUGAUGAUGAUAUUUUCUACUCUUAGAGGCUUGUAGACCCUAUGUAGUGUGUUGAUGUUGGUCAUGAGAAUUAUGUUUUGUUAUA